UAUGUGGAGACAUUCAUGGACAGUUUUAUGACAUGAAAGAGCUGUUCAAAGUUGGAGGCGACUGUCCAAAGACUAAUUACUUGUUUCUAGGGGAUUUUGUUGACCGAGGAUUUUAUUCUGUUGAGACGUUUCUGCUUUUGCUAGCAUUGAAGGUAAUGCUCUGAGAAAAUACUUUCCUUUUUCUUCUUUCAGAAAAAACUGAGAUUUUAUCACUGUUGUAACUCUAGCUUCUUUGUUUAUGUGAUGUUUCGUAUAAGGCUAUUGAUCAUUCUUGAUUUAACCAUCUGUUACAUGUCUGUUGAUCCAUUAUCAGCAUUUUCAUUUCAAUCAAUUUGCCUGUGGAUUCAUCAUAUUCUCAGCACCAAUAAUAGGGUUUUUUGGACUCAACCAAAAUAGAAAAGUUUCAUUCUUCCUCUUCCAACAUUCACAAAUUACAAAGAUGGAAUGAAAUAUGUGUUUUCCAUAUGUUGCUGAGGUACCAACCAACCCAAUGUACUCUUUAUCAUGAUUCUAAAGAAUCUAGCCAAUUCUGGAGUAGAUUGUGUUUUAUUGACCAUUCUCACAAUGCAUACCCACAUGUUAAUGUCUGUCAUUUUCUCAGGCCUUUUAGUGUUAUGAACAUCCAAUGGUGGAAGAUAAUGUAUAAAACCAGUCAACCAGAACAAAAAUUAGUGUUAUGAACUUUCCAGUGGUGGAAGAUAAUGAACAAAACCACUGAGUCAGAAGAACAAAAAGCAUCAGAUAAGCACUAAAAGUUCCCCUCUAGUUGAUCCAUGGAACUUUCAAGAUUUUAUGUUUUCUAGUUCCAGAAUUUGUUGCUUCUAUCUUGUGCUUUUAAUUUGCAAGGAUGCCUGAUCAAUGUCGCAAGUUACUUACUACUUUGAAUGCAUGUAGGGCCUGUUUAGGUCUUCCUGCUGGAAUAUACUGCAGGAAUUGGGGAUAGAAGGGGCAUAGGAGGAAGGGAAGUUGGGAGGAGAUGGGGAGGGUCGAGGAUUGGCGAUGAUGAGGAGAAAAGAAUAAAUAUCCACAGCGGUCCUUUUUUCCCUCUUGCAGGAUUUGGGAUGGGGGUGUGAGUUGGUAUGGGCCAUGCCCAAAUGGGCUGCCUAACCCACGAAUCCAGCAGGAAACUCAGUCUAAUUCUGCUGGUUUACCCAAACAGGCCAUAGUAUUUCCAAGACUGUCAUUAUAUUUUUUUUUUCUAGCAUACAUGCAGCACAAAAACCGUUGUCUAUUGUAAUCUAUAUCUGCUCGUGCAUAUAAUGUAAUUUUCCAGGGUUUUAUCACGCCUUUGAAUCAGCUCCAGCCAAUUUUCCUGAAUUUGUGCAGGUUAGGUAUCCAGACCGUAUAACUCUCAUACGAGGAAAUCAUGAGAGCCGGCAGAUCACACAGGUUGGGAUCUUAUAGUUGUCUUGUAACAUAUCUUAAUAUUUCUACAUCGAGAACGCUAAGGUUCCAGGAAAUCAGGUUUAUGGAUUCUAUGAUGAGUGUCUCCGCAAAUAUGGGUCAGUAAAUGUAUGGAGAUAUUGCACAGAUAUAUUUGACUUCCUAAGGUAAUCUCCUCUAGAUUUCAUUUUUCAGUAUCAAUUAUACAUACUAUCCAUGUAGGUCUUUCUUGGUAAUGUACUUGUUUUGUUGUGUCUUUUAUUCCCUUGUACAGCCUAUCAGCACUCAUUGAGAACAAAAUUUUUAGUGUCCAUGGAGGGCUAUCUCCUGCCAUUACAACGUUAGAUCAGGUCAGUUAUAUCUUUUCCAUCUGUUCUUUAUUAUUUGUUGAAGCUUUCAAUCAUCAAUAGAGAUAAUAUCCUGUUUAACAGAUUCGAACUAUAGACCGGAAGCAGGAAGUACCUCAUGAUGGGGCCAUGUGCGAUCUUCUAUGGUCAGAUCCAGAAGAUGCUGUUGAUGGUUGGGGUUUAAGUCCUCGGGGUGCAGGCUUCCUGUUUGGUGGGAAUGUGGUUACCUCCUUUAAUCACUCAAACAACAUUGAUUACAUAUGUCGUGCACAUCAACUAGUGAUGGAAGGAUAUAAAUGGAUGUUUAAUAACCAGAUUGUAACAGUCUGGUCCGCUCCAAAUUACUGUUACAGGUACCAAUUAAAUGUUCAUCUUGAAAAAUUGAUAAAACUUAUUAUAUGUAAUAAUUGAAAAUAGAUUAGAGGAAUAACUAUUUAUCUGCAAAACUUGAGACAAUAUUUUGUCUUCAAAUACAAAGUGUUAGCAGGUGAAUCUUUUGACUGAUUCUUUAGUAUAUUGUAGCCUUUUCUUAUCUUCCAGAUAUAUUGUCACAAAUGUUGCCUUGGGUCUAUUGUUUUAAAAAAACAAAAUGGACCAACCUGUUAAAUGAGGCAUGUGGAAAGCUGCCAUUGUUAGUCUUGAUAUAAUGUUGCAUCCUGAGAAUUACUAGUGAACCUUCCACUCCCCUGCAUGAAUAUUGCUGGUUAAGGUUCAGCUUUCCAAAUGUCACUUUGGGAAUGGUUUGCUUUAUUGUUAUGCAUGUUGGCAAAUUUGAAUAUGAUAAAAAUUCUACAAAUUAAGUAUUAUCUAGAAGUCUUAGUAAUCAAAUCUUGUAGACUUGGCUGUUAAUCUUGCUUGUCCAUGCCACCUCUGACCAUAUUUUGUUUAUACUUGGAUCUUAUAAAAUAAUAACAGGCCUCCUGAACUAGAUUCUAACCUCUUUCCACUAAUAUUUCAAUCACAAUGUCCAUAUUUUAUUCCUGGAGUUCUUGUCGAAGCUUAAUAAAGAAACACUGUUAAUUUAUCCUCAUUAUAUUCAGUAUCACAUAAUUUUCAUCUAUUGUAGAGGAUAAUGUAGCUAUACAUUGGCAGUUGAACUGGAAAAAAUCAUCUCCUGUUCAACCUAAUGUUAUAGGGUAAAAAGCACUGGGUGGAGAGAUAAUCUGACAGGGCCUGUUUGGCAAAAUCCCUGGAGAGAGUGGAGAGAGUGCAUGUGGGGAGAGUGCCUUGACAGGGGAAGGGGGCAAUCCCGUGGGAUUUAGGCAAAGAGACUCUUCAUGAAAUUAUGCCUCUGCUAAUCAAAUGUAGUAACUCUUCAAAGUUCAAAGCAGCGUGGAAUUUAAAAGGGCUUGCUUAAAAAGAGAUCUAUCGCACUCAACCAGCACUUGGAUUGUUGUUCAAAACACAACACCUCUAGCAUGUGAAGCAUGGAAUGGACUAAAGAAAACCGCACUAGAAUAUUAGAUAUGUCUAUAUGCUACAGUCUAAUCUCUCUGAACUGUCUUUUCCUUUAUGAAUGAUUUCAGAUGUGGCAAUGUGGCUGCCAUCCUUGAGCUGGAUGAGAACCUAAACAAGCAGUUUCGUGUAUUUGAGGCUGCACCACAUGUUUGUGUCCCUGACUCUUUCUUUCCCAGUAUUUUCUCUUAUAGUCAUUUUGCUAAAAUACACAUUUUUUCAUGCAGGAAGCAAGAGGCGUUCCUUCUAAGAAACCAGCCCCUGAUUACUUCCUCUGAUAUCAUUCCUGAGAACUCACCUUUCCCUCUCUUUCAAUUGGUGGUACACAAGCUCGUCAGAUUUUCUUCUUGCUGAUACGAGCUCUUACAACUGUGCUGUUGCAUGCAAGACUUAUCCGGAGUACAAGUAUCCAUGGUUGAGAGUUGCUUUUGGACUGUAAAUUGUUUAGAACUGGUUGGUUUUCCACAAUGUCUGGCCUUCCUGUAUAUGAAUAUGAAUCCUGUUUGGUGAGAAACAUGUACCCUUAGUGGCACCAGUUCCGUAAUUUUCUUACACAGUUCUGGUGGAGAGGCAGCGCAUGGAUUAGAGGAAGCCAUUCUAAAUUUCAGCGAAGUAACAAUGCUGCACGUUGUAGAGGUGUUUUUAUUUGUGUCCUGCAUUACUUGGCCUAUA
rnacentral:lncRNA from 1 species